UCACGUUGACCUUGAAGAGGCUCAUGGGCCAACUGGAGUGUCCUGAUGAAGUUCUGGUGCUUAUGAAGAUCCAAACACUUGAUCUGGUCUCAACAGCCCAUACCUGAAUGAUUGUGUAUAGUUGUUUGAUGCGGUUGCAUUCUAAUGAUAUCACUCCCGAACUCGAUGAAGCUCUGCAAGGGGAGGUAUGCAAUGCCAGUCAUAUCACAACUAUGAAAGA